UACGUAGGGUGCGAGCGUUGUCCGGAAUUAUUGGGCGUAAAGAGCUCAUAGGCGGUUCGUCGCGUCGAAUGUGAAAACCCGGGGCUCAACUCCGGGCCUGCAUUCGAUACGGGCGGACUAGAGUUCGGUAGGGGAGACUGGAAUUCCUGGUGUAGCGGUGAAAUGCGCAGAUAUCAGGAGGAACACCGGUGGCGAAGGCGGGUCUCUGGGCCGAUACUGACGCUGAGGAGCGAAAGCGUGGGGAGCGAACAGG
rnacentral:rRNA from 1 species